GAUGAAGAACGUAGCGAAAUGCGAUAAGUAAUGUGAAUUGCAGAAUUCAGUGAAUCAUCGAAUCUUUGAACGCACAUUGCGCCCGCCAGUAUUCUGGCGGGCAUGCCUGUCCGAGCGUCAUUUCAACCAUCAAGCCCCGGGCCUGUGUUGGGGACCUGCGUCCGACGCAGGCCCUGAAAACCAGUGGCGGGCUCGCUGUCCACACCGAGCGUAGUAACUAACCUCGCUAUGGAGUGGCGCGGGCGCCUGCCGUAAAACCCCCAAUUUCACAAGGUUGACCUCGGAUCAGGUAGGAAUACCCGCUGAACUUAAGCAUAUCAAUAAGCGGAGGA
rnacentral:misc_RNA from 1 species